CUUCAUCAUCCUGAGUUCACUGACGCUGGCUGCUGCCGUGGAGAUCACCAACCUGCACAAGCGCGUCGCCCUCAAGUCUCUGCUCAUCUUCGGCAUGAGCAAGCGAAGGAUAGUGUUCGCUAUCAUGAUGAUCAGCAUGUUCAUGUCCUUGUGGAUCCCCAACACGGCGUCGGCCUCCAUCAUGGGUCCCAUCACUUUAGCCGUGGCCGACCAGAUGCAGAAGUCGUCGCACAAGUUCGGGAGAGGGUUUCAACUGCGAAAGGACAUUGCCAGCGCUGUGGACAAGGAGCAGCUGUAAGU
rnacentral:lncRNA from 1 species